rnacentral:lncRNA from 1 species
CGGAGGGCAGCUUUCACGACUUCCUCGACUUCAUAUCCCCAACGAGCAAGACCGCUGGAAGGAAUUUAUAAACAGCCUUAAGAUAACGGCACCUUGAGACCGUUACUAGUUAGGCAACAACAGUACUCGUGGACUGCAGUCUAUAUUUCCUUGGAGCAAUGCUUAUUCUAAGACUAGACCGUAAAAGCUAAAUAAAGUUUUAGACGUUCGCAAUCAUGACAAGACAUCGCAUCAAACAUGUCAUAAACAGAUAUCAAUUGCAGAAGAUUGAAUGCGACUGCCAUUCAAAAGAAAAAUUAAAAGCAGAUAUCAAUACUUCGAGUACCUUUAAAAGUGGUGGUAUUAAGAACCAUUAGACCUUCGUUAAUACUUCGAGUACGGCCAGAAAAGUAACACUGCCUUCUCAGCAACCAUCAGACCUUACAUCCAGGAGCCUGUUAAGAGGUAGGUGUCUAUAGAAGUAUUUUGACAAACAAGCGUGCUAAUUCAGUAAAAGAGAGUAAGUUGACGAGUAAAAUUAUCUUACAAAAAGCAAGUCUAUUUAUUUAGUUCUUUUUUUGACCUGAAAGAGAAAAAAAAAAUUAGAAUUCAGUAUCCCCUUAUGCUACCGGAUGAACCUGAGGCACAGACAUGGUCCAUGGUCAGAAAUAAUUGUAAUAAGACAUCUGAAACUGUGAUAUCAAACUCUAAUGUAUGAUAAAUAAACACUUAAAAAACGACGUACACUAAUG